CAGCUGUCAGGACAGGGUCCGUGAGGGACACAGUACUUGGUCCUAGACGCAAAAAGAAAAAGUCAGAUUGCUCCUACCACACUCGCCUAGAAACUUUCCCCAUCAGGAGUGUAAUAAGAGAAAGAAUGAGAAAGGGAAAAGCAGAAAUGUUGGUGGAGUGGGAGCCCUGUCCAGUAUGUGGCAAGGAGUGGGCUCAUUCCUGGCAGCCGAAGAAUUCUCC